GAUGUAACGCCAUGGGGUAGGAAGUCCGGAACUAUUCUCCGAUAAACGAUGGCUCUUUCUGAGGGCAGGACGCCCAAGAAAGCUUGACUUUAAGAUCUAUUGUUUUUCAGGAAUGACAAAAUGCCUCUCCAAACUUCGCGCCCACUCCGAAGCUGCUCCAGGAGGGCGUCUUGGAGGGAGAAUGCUGGCACUCAGCUCACAUUUACUGGACUUUGCACAGCUGGAACCAGCGCCCUGGGCUGCAGCUCUUCCCGGAGUUUGCAAGAGGCCCAGACAGGCCCGCUCUGAGCUCCGCAGCCCGGCGUCCCCGAGUGUCACACUGGCAGGCGGCCUACUCGCUGACUCCACUUCCUCUGCUCGCUUUCCCGGAGGUGCCCGCCCACGCCACCGCCACUCCCCCACUGAGAAGUCACGCUCUGGUCUCUGAGCUGCUCGGAAGCUGCCGCGAGGAGAAGUAGUGGCAUGUGGACGAAGGAACUGACAAGGGCCCUAGAAUGGGACCAAGAGACAGCCCUUAGCCGUGACUGUCUUUAGUUAGUUUAGUUCCUGGAGACUGAAUUUCGAUCUUCUGCCUGCAAAAGAGGGUGCUGAUCUAGACCAACUCAGUCUGUCCUCUGCCCGGUGUCACUGUCCUGAAACCCAGGUCCAGACGUUUCUGGGAGCGCUGCAAAAAGGAGGCGAAAAAAGCGCCCCCCCCCGAGGAGGACAAAAUCGCUCUGAUCUCAAACCCACUUCUCUCCUCCUUUCUCCUCUGUAUCUCAUUUUCACUGUAUAUCCCAGGUUGGUCUGUGGCUGUCUAUCUUGCCACAAUCCUCCUGCCUCAGCUGGCAUAACAGGAGUGCGCCUCCGCAAUCCGCACCUCCCAACAACGGAUUCGAUAAAUGUUCGGAACCCCAGCAUCUUACUGAAAAUACCUUUCAGCUUUUUCCGACAAAUUCCACAGCAGCACCCUAGGGCCCCAAGCACGCGCACAGACACUGGAAGCAGCGUCGCAGCCAAUACCGCCAUUCAUUUGCAUCUCAGGAGCCUGCCCCAUGUCUAGCCUGUCCCCUGACUUCGAAGAGAAGCUAAUAAUAGCGUGUACGUCAGGCGGACUACAACCUGAGGAGUGCCCAUGAGCCGUCGUGCGUGAGUCACCGGGACUGCACUGGGCUCUGCGCCACCCCAGGAAAGUGAUGGUGGCGGGGAGGCGGACCUUUUACCCCUCCGGGAGGAGGUGGCACAGGAUCCCCGAGGGCGAAUGGGAGCCCCCAGUUUCGGCCGGGCCCGGAUGGAGCCGCCGGGAAGUAAGAUGGAAAUUGUUGGUAUGGUGGUGGCCUCCCCCGCUUCCUGCGGGGUCCCCCGCCGCGGCCCCAUUGCACAAUCCCUGUCGUGCAACUGCCGCGUGACUCGCACCCAGCCCGAAAUGGUUCCCAGGUUUCCCAGCUUAGCAGAAAGCCUCGGCGUCUCCGCCCUAACCUCAGGCACCCUCCAAGCCUUAUUUCUUCGGGUGGGGGACUGGGAAGAAUGCAUUUGUCAAGGAAAGGCAAGCGCACUCCCCUCCAGCUGCAGGCUGGCGCAGGGUGGCCUUUCUAUGUGGUACACUUUCAGGCAACACGUGCUUGGGGGUUGGGGUAGAAGCAAGCAUCUGUCAUAAAGGAAGAAGAGGGAAGCUGUGCUAGAGAGCCAGCCUGUCUCUAAAAACCAAAACAAAAAACAAACAAACAAACAAAAAAAAGCAGUAAGUCUAGCAAUGUCCCAGCAAGGUAUCAGUAACUCUGUAACUCACUUCAGUUAUCUCCACGAAUUGAGGAAGAGAGGGACCAUGAACAAAUAUUUCUCCAAGAUCGAAUCUAAAAUGUCAGGUUUCCGACUGACCUCACUUUGAUGGUUAAGAACGUCCGUGUCCUGCCAAUGUGAUAGCUUGUUUAGGAGUAAAUUGUCAAGAGUUGCUCUAAACUGGUCUGUAUCAUUCAGGCUUGGAAUGCAUUUGCUGCACAUCCUUUAAAAACACACAAUCUGUGAAAAUAUAGGGGACUUCAAUGACAGGCUUGCAGGCUAGCUUGUUGUCUUUGGCAUUUUCAAGGGUGACCGACCACACCUAAUGUUAGGCACCAGAUGCCUAACAAAUAGAUGUGAAGAUCAAAGGAACCAAAAUUAAAAGUGGUAAUCACGAAUAAAGGUAAUCUUUUGUGGGUUAUAAAAACUUUCUGCAAUGAUAGUUGUAAUUCAAUCAUAAUAAUGCAACUCAAAUAUAAGCCCUGUCCCUUUUUGAGACUGGGUUUCUCUGUGUAAGAGCCCUGGCUGUCCUGGAACAAGCUGACCUUGAGCACGUGAAGAGCUACCUGACUCUGCCUCCCGAGUGCUGGAAUUAAAGGCCUGUGCCACCACACCCAGCUCCAAAUACAAACUGUUACCCGUGGAGAAGUUCAUGCUAUGGGGAUGGCAACUCACAACCAUCUUAACUCCAGCUCUAGGGAUCUGACACCAUCUUCUGACAUCUCAAUGC